UACGUAGGGUCCAAGCGUUGUCCGGAAUUACUGGGCGUAAAGCGCGCGCAGGCGGCCCGCGAGGUGUCACGUGAAAGCCCCGGGCUCAACCCGGGAGGGUCGUGGCAAACCGGCGGGCUUGAGGCCGGUAGGGGUGGGUGGAACUCCUGGUGGAGUGGUGAAAUGCGCAGAUAUCGGGAGGAACACCGGUGGCGAAGGCGGUUCUCUGGGCCUGUACUGACGCUGAGGAGCGAAAGCGUGGGGAGCGAACAGG
rnacentral:rRNA from 1 species